rnacentral:rRNA from 1 species
CGGCAGACGGGUGAGUAACGCGUGGGAACAUACCUUUUGGUUCGGAACAACACAGGGAGACUUGUGCUAAUACCGGAUAAGCCCUUACGGGGAAAGAUUUAUCGCCGAAAGAUUGGCCCGCGUCUGAUUAGCUAGUUGGUGAGGUAACGGCUCACCAAGGCGACGAUCAGUAGCUGGUCUGAGAGGAUGAUCAGCCACAUUGGGACUGAGACACGGUCCAG